rnacentral:rRNA from 1 species
AUUGAACGCUGGCGGCAGGCCUAACACAUGCAAGUCGAGCGGGCGAGGUUGCUUCGGUAACUGAGCUAGCGGCGGACGGGUGAGUAAAGCUUAGGAAUCUGCCUAUUAGUGGGGGACAACAUUCCGAAAGGGAUGCUAAUACCGCAUACGUCCUACGGGAGAAAGCAGGGGAUCACUUGUGACCUUGCGCUAAUAGAUGAGCCUAAGUCGGAUUAGCUAGUUGGUGGGGUAAAGGCCUACCAAGGCGACGAUCUGUAGCGGGUCUGAGAGGAUGAUCCGCCACACUGGGACUGAGACACGGCCCAGACUCCUACGGGAGGCAGCAGUGGGGAAUAUUGGACAAUGGGGGGAACCCUGAUCCAGCCAUGCCGCGUGUGUGAAGAAGGCCUUUUGGUUGUAAAGCACUUUAAGCGAGGAGGAGGCUUACCUGGUUAAUACCUGGGAUAAGUGGACGUUACUCGCAGAAUAAGCACCGGCUAACUCUGUGCCAGUCGCCGCCGUAAGAC